AGCUAAUACCGGAUAGUUCCUUGAACCGCAUGGUUCAAGGAUGAAAGACGGUUUCGGCUGUCACUUACAGAUGGACCCGCGGCGCAUUAGCUAGUUGGUGGGGUAAUGGCUCACCAAGGCGACGAUGCGUAGCCGACCUGAGAGGGUGAUCGGCCACACUGGGACUGAGACACGGCCCAGACUCCUACGGGAGGCAGCAGUAGGGAAUCUUCCGCAAUGGACGAAAGUCUGACGGAGCAACGCCGCGUGAGUGAUGAAGGUUUUCGGAUCGUAAAGCUCUGUUGUUAGGGAAGAACAAGUGCGAGAGUAACUGCUCGCACCUUGACGGUACCUAACCAGAAAGCCACGGCUAACUACGUGCCAGCAGCCGCGGUAAUACGUAGGUGGCAAGCGUUGUCCGGAAUUAUUGGGCGUAAAGGGCUCGCAGGCGGUUUCUUAAGUCUGAUGUGAAAGCCCCCGGCUCAACCGGGGAGGGUCAUUGGAAACUGGGAAACUUGAGUGCAGAAGAGGAGAGUGGAAUUCCACGUGUAGCGGUGAAAUGCGUAGAGAUGUGGAGGAACACCAGUGGCGAAGGCGACUCUCUGGUCUGUAACUGACGCUGAGGAGCGAAAGCGUGGGGAGCGAACAGGAUUAGAUACCCUGGUAGUCCACGCCGUAAACGAUGAGUGCUAAGUGUUAGGGGGUUUCCGCCCCUUAGUGCUGCAGCUAACGCAUUAAGCACUCCGCCUGGGGAGUACGGUCGCAAGACUGAAACUCAAAGGAAUUGACGGGGGCCCGCACAAGCGGUGGAGCAUGUGGUUUAAUUCGAAGCAACGCGAAGAACCUUACCAGGUCUUGACAUCCUCUGACAACCCUAGAGAUAGGGCUUUCCCUUCGGGGACAGAGUGACAGGUGGUGCAUGGUUGUCGUCAGCUCGUGUCGUGAGAUGUUGGGUUAAGUCCCGCAACGAGCGCAACCCUUGAUCUUAGUUGCCAGCAUUCAGUUGGGCACUCUAAGGUGACUGCCGGUGACAAACCGGAGGAAGGUGGGGAUGACGUCAAAUCAUCAUGCCCCUUAUGACCUGGGCUACACACGUGCUACAAUGGACAGAACAAAGGGCUGCAAGACCGCAAGGUUUAGCCAAUCCCAUAAAUCUGUUCUCAGUUCGGAUCGCAGUCUGCAACUCGACUGC
rnacentral:rRNA from 1 species